UACGUAGGGGGCAAGCGUUAUCCGGAUUUACUGGGUGUAAAGGGAGCGUAGACGGUUAUGCAAGUCUGAAGUGAAAGCCCAAGGCUCAACCAUGGGACUGCUUUGGAAACUGUAAAACUGGAGUGCAGGAGAGGUAAGCGGAAUUCCUAGUGUAGCGGUGAAAUGCGUAGAUAUUAGGAGGAACACCGGUGGCGAAGGCGGCUUACUGGACUGUAACUGACGUUGAGGCUCGAAGGCGUGGGGAGCAAACAGG
rnacentral:rRNA from 1 species